rnacentral:lncRNA from 1 species
CCUCUCCAGCAGACUCAGACACCCAAAACAUAAGGGGGGCUUCCUGCUCCCCCAUUUUGCAGUCCAGGGGCAUUUCAACUAUAACGUCCAUGGCAUACCCACAGCUAGGAGUACGGGGUUAAUGGUGGGUGUCCUCACCUGCACCCAGUUCAGUAUAUGCCACCAGCGAGAGGGGUGGCUAGUUAAGUAACAAGUUAGGUGUUUAUCCUUUCUGUGAAAUCCACUGGUAUUAAUCUGAUGCCAGCCACUGUCUAGUGCCAGCUACCUCUGGAGUAAAGUCCAGCCCAGUGCCUUCACACAGCUCAGGAAAUAUUUUAAUAUAUUAUCGAGAGGACUCACAGUGGUGCCAACUGUUUGUGCUUGGUGCCCAGCUACAAUGUAUCUGUAGUAUCCAAUAAAAUGCAGUGUGGAUAAUGACAAGGAUGGGUAUUGGGUGUCCUCAGUAUAGUUCAGAAUAAUUUCUCGCUGUUAUUUCCUGGUGAUUCACACUAUAUAAUGUCCUGAAACGGUAUCUGCCAUAGCUGGGCACACAAUAUAUAGUUAUGUAACAACUGGUUGGGAUACAGCACAGAAUAGGUGCAGGAUGUGUACUGACCAGUGCCAGGACCAGGGUACGCACAGACUAUGCCAAGCUCAGGGUGUAGUUCUUUCUAGUCCAAAGCCUGGGUGUACUCUUCAAAGCCAAGUACAGGGUGCAUCUUGCCCAGACUGGGUGCCCUCUCUCUCCAGUGCACAGCCCAAGAAGUAUGUUUCAAUUAUGAUGCCCUGUGCAGGUUGCCCUGUGUGGUGCCAAGUCAGAAAGCAGGUUGUCCUGUGUGGUGCCCAGUCAGGGAGCAGGUUGCCAGGUUGCCCUAUGUGAUGCCCAGUCAGGGUGCAGGUUGCCAGGUUGCCCUGUUUGGUCAGAAAGCAGGUUGUCCUGUGUGGUGCCCAGUCAGGGAGCAGGUUGCCAGGUUGCCCUAUGUGAUGCCCAGUCAGGGUGCAGGUUGCCAGGUUGCCCUGUUUGGUGCCCAGUGAGGGAGCAGGCUGGGUGCCCUCUCUCUCUCUCUCUCUCCAGUGCUGGCUGUCAGUGUGCUGUGUGCCCUCUCUCCCCGGCUGUCAG